rnacentral:rRNA from 1 species
AGCAGCAGCCGCGGUAAUACGUAGGGUGCAAGCGUUAAUCGGAAUUACUGGGCGUAAAGCGUGCGCAGGCGGCUUCUUAAGUCGGAUGUGAAAUCCCUGAGCUUAACUUAGGAAUUGCAUUCGAUACUGGGAAGCUAGAGUAUGGGAGAGGAUGGUAGAAUUCCAGGUGUAGCGGUGAAAUGCGUAGAGAUCUGGAGGAAUACCGAUGGCGAAGGCAGCCAUCUGGCCUAAUACUGACGCUGAGGUACGAAAGCAUGGGGAGCAAACAGGAUUAGAUACCCCCGUAGUCCCUGUCUCUUAUAC